rnacentral:rRNA from 1 species
CGCUGGCGGCGUGCCUAAUACAUGCAAGUUGAACGCAACAAAGACACCAGAGCUUGCUCUACCGUUUUGUUGAGUAGCGAACGGGUGAGUAACGCGUGGGUAACCUGCCUUAUAGCGGGGGAUAACUAUUGGAAACGAUAGCUAAUACCGCAUAACAAUAGAGAUUGCAUAAUCUUUAUUUGAAAGUGCCUACUGGUACACUAUGAGAUGGACCCGCGUUGUAUUAGCUAGUUGGUAGUGUAAUGGACUACCAAGGCGAUGAUACAUAGCCGACCUGAGAGGGUGAUCGGCCACAUUGGGACUGAGACACGGCCCAAACUCCUACGGGAGGCAGCAGUAGGGAAUCUUCGGCAAUGGACGAAAGUCUGACCGAGCAACGCCGCGUGAGUGAAGAAGGUUUUCGGAUCGUAAAACUCUGUUGUUAGAGAAGAAUGUUGAUUAGAGUGGAAAAUUAAUCAAGUGACGGUAUCUAACCAGAAAGGGACGGCUAACUACGUG